CUAUGCGCCUUGCCAGCCCGCUCAGGUGUGCCAGCAGCCGCGGUAAUACAGAGGUCUCAAGCGCUGUUCGGAAUCACUGGGCGUAAAGCGUGCGUAGGCGGUUUCGUAAGUCGUGUGUGAAAGGCGGGGGCUCAACCCCCGGACUGCACAUGAUACUGCGAGACUAGAGUAAUGGAGGGGGAACCGGAAUUCUCGGUGUAGCAGUGAAAUGCGUAGAUAUCGAGAGGAACACUCGUGGCGAAGGCGGGUUCCUGGACAUUAACUGACGCUGAGGCACGAAGGCCAGGGGAGCGAAAGGG
rnacentral:rRNA from 1 species